rnacentral:piRNA from 1 species
UGCGAGCAUGAGUGCCAGUUACACGGG